rnacentral:misc_RNA from 1 species
UUGAUGAUACUUGUGACAUGUCUGCUGUUCUUGGUAUUCUCUCGUCCGCCAGCGUAUUUCCUCCUGACGUUCAAAAGUUGGCAAGGGACGUAAGAAGUGACGUCAGAAAUCCUUGGGGUCACUGUAAAUUUCUGGAGUGGGACGACACAAAGUUCACAAGGUGCUUUCAGUUGAUGAGAGAUCUCCUUCAAGCUUUAAAAUUGCCUGAGGACGAUGAAAAACGAAUAACGGACGAACUGGGAGAGUGGGAAACCAUAGGUAUUGGUGCAGAUUCUUUGGUAAAGUUUAUCGAGUUUGCUCAAGUAGAAAUUAAACGGUUGUCUCAAGAAGUAAAGCGUUUGGAAGCAAACGAGAAAGACGAAGCUGAAAAAAUAGCCGCUACUUUACGCGAUAUCCUAGACAUUCUCGUCAAGGAAAAUAGAGACAAAGACAAGAAGUUAGAAGCUUUGGAUACGAGAGUUACAGCUUUGGAACAAAACAGGGAAUAUAGCGACAAAAAGAUAGCAGUUGUGGCACAAAAACAAGAAAAGUGCGAAAACAGGCUUGAAACUGUGGAACAAAAAGUUAAAGAUAUUACACCAAUUACAGACGAGGAUCCAGUAGAGUGUCUUGGGAUUGUUAUUACUGAUAAUUUCAAUGACCUCCCAGAGGAUAUUUUCUACUUAAUGUCAACGUACCUCGACCAUAAAGACAUACAAUGGAUAAAAGAGGCACCAUGGAAACCAGAGAAAUUUCUUCGUAAAUUUCCAAANAAAAGUUGCGAUAAACCAAGAAAAGAUUGUCUACAACAUCUCGUGGACGUUUUAUGUGAAAAAUUUCCAGUAGCAAUGUCUGGUUUAUUAGAAUUGCUAGGCGUUGGUAAAGAGUUAGUGACUACGCCUCUCAAGGAUAACAAAGAGCUCAAAGAAAAAACCAUAGAAAUUGUAAGUAGAAACCCGAAUAUCUGCUGGGAGACUUUGGCUGGUCAUUUACANGUCGAUGAAAAGAUAUUGAAGAAAUGUAGGGAAGAUUACUCGGGAGAUACACUUGAAGUAACAAUCCAGAUGCUCAGAGAGUGGAUCGAAACAUCAGAUGAGAGCUNUACAUUAGAGAUCAUAUUCGAUGCUUUAAGGUUGUGUGGGUAUAGNAAAACAGGGGAAGAACUAGCUUCCUAUACGACGGGAAAAUGCAAAGAUAAAAUUGCACAGCUAAUACAAGCCGAGCAGAGCCGACNAGCCGAAUCAAGCCGAACCCACGAGCCGAGCUAAGCCAGAUCAUAUUUGAUGCUUUAAGGUUGUGUGGGUAUAGAAAAACAGUGAAGAACAAACUACCUAUACGACAGGAAAAUGCGGGGAGGGGGAGGGGGGGACUGGCGUAGCUAUCGCGCAGUGAUUGUUGUGAAAAGAUAAUAAGCAAAAUAGAUGAGUAGACAGUAAUUCCCCUCCAUGCGGGAUUACACGGAGUAAUUUUCUCUGCAACUUGUCUCGCAACAAGCCAAGCUGCAAUAGUGUUACACGGUGCAACAGAGACGCAAUCGGCUACACGCUGCAAUGCCUCAUGCAACAUGUUUCGCAACGCCGUUUCGAGGGAAGUUGAAGAGAAAUUUGCUCCGUGUAAUCGCUCCUUUACACUCGCGACUGUUGUUAGUCACUAUAGAUUAUAUAUAUGAUUUUGGUUCACGGCCAAAUAAAAUUANUCGAAAUUUUAAAUCAGUAAUAGUAUGUUCAUGCAAGGACGGAUCCAANAUUUUCAAAAAUGAAUGUGCUUAACAGUGUAACUGUUGUAAAAUGAUGUCAGAGGGUUAGUGGGGUAGGUAAUUUAAAAAUAUAGCUAGAAUUAUAACAAUAAAUUAACCUUUCCCGAAUUUUCUCGAGUGAAUAUAAAGCAAUGUUUCCAAGUCGAGGUUGGAAAUGAUAAAAUGUAACAAAUAAACGAAAACGUGAGUACCAAAUUCUGGAAAGGUGUCUAGAAAGUAAAAAUAAGAUUUUGGCCACUCAGAUUAGCCAUGGUGAUAAAUGUAGUAAGUAGAGUUUAUUGCUUUUAGUUUUAUCUGUUUAUUUUAUUGAUAUUAUUAUAUUUUAUUUUUUUCAAAACUAAGAAGAAAAAUCAAAUUUCAGCCAUUCGAGGGUUAAGGAAAAAACUGGGUCUAGUUGUCAUUGUAGUGCAUUGUGGGACUGUUUCAAAUAGACAAAAUAGACGCCAUCUUGGAAAUAUGUCCCCAAAAGCAUUACCACAAUGCAUGGAAUUGUCAGCUUAACCCAGUUUUUUCCCUCGACGUCGAAACGGCAAAUUACAUUGUAUUUGUAAUUGUAUUUUAAUAAUAUGUAUUAUAUCUAAAACUAUUUUCUGAACAACACUUUUCGAUUCCAGUGUAGGCUAGCAUAGCCACUAUAAAAAAAUAUGCUAUAUUUUACUAAACAUAUAAAUACUUGAUAUUUAUAUAAUUUUAUUAUAUUAAAAUUGAAUAAUAAAAAUAANCCAUAAUAUUUGAA